AGAGUUUGAUCAUGGCUCAGAACGAACGCUGGCGGCGUGCCUAACACAUGCAAGUCGAACGAUCCUUCGGGAUAGUGGCGCACGGGUGAGUAACACGUGGGAAUCUGCCCAAUAGUGGGGGAUAACAGUUGGAAACGACUGCUAAUACCGCAUACGCCCUUCGGGGGAAAGAUUUAUCGCUAUUGGAUGAGCCCGCGCCUGAUUAGGUAGUUGGUAGGGUAAUGGCCUACCAAGCCUACGAUCAGUAGCUGGUCUGAGAGGACGACCAGCCACACUGGGACUGAGACACGGCCCAGACUCCUACGGGAGGCAGCAGUGGGGAAUAUUGGACAAUGGGCGAAAGCCUGAUCCAGCGACGCCGCGUGGAUGAUGAAGGCCUUAGGGUUGUAAAGUCCUUUCGGUAGGGAAGAUAAUGACGGUACCUACAGAAGAAGCCCCGGCUAACUCCGUGCCAGCAGCCGCGGUAAUAC
rnacentral:rRNA from 1 species